AGAGUUUGAUCCUGGCUCAGAUUGAACGCUGGCGGCAUGCCUUACACAUGCAAGUCGAACGGCAGCACGGGCUUCGGUCUGGUGGCGAGUGGCGAACGGGUGAGUAAUGUAUCGGAACGUACCUUUCAGUGGGGGAUAACGUAGCGAAAGUUACGCUAAUACCGCAUAUUCUGUGAGCAGGAAAGCAGGGGAUCGCAAGACCUUGCGCUGAUUGAGCGGCCGAUAUCAGAUUAGCUAGUUGGUGAGGUAAAGGCUCACCAAGGCGACGAUCUGUAGCGGGUCUGAGAGGAUGAUCCGCCACACUGGAACUGAGACACGGUCCAGACUCCUACGGGAGGCAGCAGUGGGGAAUUUUGGACAAUGGGGGCAACCCUGAUCCAGCCAUGCCGCGUGAGUGAAGAAGGCCUUCGGGUUGUAAAGCUCUUUCGGCCGGGAAGAAAUCGCAUAGGUUAAUACCCUGUGUGGAUGACGGUACCGGAAUAAGAAGCACCGGCUAACUACGUGCCAGCAGCCGCGGUAAUACGUAGGGUGCGAGCGUUAAUCGGAAUUACUGGGCGUAAAGCGUGCGCAGGCGGUUUCGUAAGACAGAGGUGAAAUCCCCGGGCUCAACCUGGGAACUGCCUUUGUGACUGCGAAGCUAGAGUACGGCAGAGGGGGGUGGAAUUCCACGUGUAGCAGUGAAAUGCGUAGAGAUGUGGAGGAACACCAAUGGCGAAGGCAGCCCCCUGGGUCGAUACUGACGCUCAUGCACGAAAGCGUGGGUAGCAAACAGGAUUAGAUACCCUGGUAGUCCACGCCCUAAACGAUGUCAACUAGGUGUUGGGUGGGUAAAACCAUUUAGUACCGGAGCUAACGCGUGAAGUUGACCGCCUGGGGAGUACGGCCGCAAGGUUAAAACUCAAAGGAAUUGACGG
rnacentral:rRNA from 1 species